GCAAAAGGCAGAACUGAGACUGAAUGGAGUUUGUACUUCCAACCUUCAUACAGUGGGUGAGCAAGAGGAAGGUAGAGUGGCUAUCACUUGUUUUUGAGGGCCCCGCAUCCAUUUCCCAAUCUUUGCAUUACAGCACCGUAAGUGUCCUUCAGGGAAUGACCCACCCCAUUGUGAGCCAGCCCAGUGGGACUGUCAAUCAAGGUACCCUGCCCUUCCCUAGCCAAGGGAUGAAUCCAUGGCCAAGAUAAAUCAUCAAACUCUAGAGUCUGGGCCAGCGAAUCUUCACCAGGCUGACGCAGAGUGGAAAACACACUGCAGUCCACCCAUCGAGAAAAAACCCUUGUGAAGUCUACUUGCUACCUAGACACAGGAGACUGCUCCAGUUCUCGCUUCCUCUCUCUCCCUCAUUUCCUCUCUUCUCUCUUCCUCCCUUUCCCUUCCUCCCUCCCUAUUUCUCUCUUUCUUUUUUAGUUCUCAGUUCCCCAUUUGUGAGUUACUCAACAUCAGUCCAUUUCAGCACAAGUUAGCCAGAGUUGGUUGCCUUUGCAAGAUAAAAUAUGAACACCUCUGUCUGUACAUGGACUGCGAGAAUUAGAACUUUGGGCUCAACACCGUCAUCUGACAGCUGGGGAAACUGCAGGGAGGUGCUGAUGCGGAGUGUGAGGGAAGCCUCACCUGACCCCCCGCUAGCAGGCUGCCUCCCGUCCACACUCCUUUUUCUUGCCUCUGUGAGUCAGAGGGGCAUCAAACCGCAACAUGAGCUGUAGCCACAAAACCCUGCUCCUCACACAGAUGGAACAAGGCUGCUAUUACGAGCAAACAGAAUCAACAGGCAAGCUACAAGUGGGAGGCAAGCUUUACGCUCUGGCAGCUUCACCCCAGGAGGAAGAUGUGGCAACACCUACAGAACAAAAGCUUCAUCUUUUUCAUCUAUUUUUACUUCUCAAGAGACGCCAGUCCCGUGGCCUUUUUAUCGGAGAACUGUUUUAGCUCUGCACACAUGUUUUCUACAUAAUAUUAAACAGUAACCUUUCAGUCUCCCACAUCCUGGUAUGCUCUGGACUCACAGACCACAUUUUUUGAAAGACACACACAUACACACACACACACACACACACACACACGGCCCGAAUCUGCACCGGCUGACUGCUAGAAAAUAAAACAACUUUUAAUUUG
rnacentral:lncRNA from 1 species